GGAAUCUGGGAGGACCAUCUCCUAAGGCUAAAUACUCUCUAGUGACCGAUAGUGAACCAGUACCGUGAGGGAAAGGUGAAAAGCACCCCGGAAGGGGAGUGAAAUAGAACCUGAAACCGUGUGCUUACAAGUAGUCAGAGCCCGUUAAUGGGUGAUGGCGUGCCUUUUGUAGAAUGAACCGGCGAGUUACGAUUUGAUGCAAGGUUAAGCAGUAAAUGUGGAGCCGUAGCGAAAGCGAGUCUGAAUAGGGCGUUUAGUAUUUGGUCGUAGACCCGAAACCAGGUGAUCUACCCUUGGUCAGGUUGAAGUUCAGGUAACACUGAAUGGAGGACCGAACCGACUUACGUUGAAAAGUGAGCGGAUGAACUGAGGGUAGCGGAGAAAUUCCAAUCGAACCUGGAGAUAGCUGGUUCUCUCCGAAAUAGCUUUAGGGCUAGCCUCAAGUGAUGAUUAUUGGAGGUAGAGCACUGUUUGGACGAGGGGCCCCUCUCGGGUUACCGAAUUCAGACAAACUCCGAAUGCCAAUUAAUUUAACUUGGGAGUCAGAACAUGGGUGAUAAGGUCCGUGUUCGAAAGGGAAACAGCCCAGACCACCAGCUAAGGUCCCAAAAUAUAUGUUAAGUGGAAAAGGAUGUGGCGUUGCCCAGACAACUAGGAUGUUGGCUUAGAAGCAGCCAUCAUUUAAAGAGUGCGUAAUAGCUCACUAGUCGAGUGACACUGCGCCGAAAAUGUACCGGGGCUAAACAUAUUACCGAAGCUGUGGAUUGUCCUUUGGACAAUGGUAGGAGAGCGUUCUAAGGGCGUUGAAGCAUGAUCGUAAGGACAUGUGGAGCGCUUAGAAGUGAGAAUGCCGGUGUGAGUAGCGAAAGACGGGUGAGAAUCCCGUCCACCGAUUGACUAAGGUUUCCAGAGGAAGGCUCGUCCGCUCUGGGUUAGUCGGGUCCUAAGCUGAGGCCGACAGGCGUAGGCGAUGGAUAACAGGUUGAUAUUCCUGUACCACCUAUAAUCGUUUUAAUCGAUGGGGGGACGCAGUAGGAUAGGCGAAGCGUGCGAUUGGAUUGCACGUCUAAGCAGUAAGGCUGAGUAUUAGGCAAAUCCGGUACUCGUUAAGGCUGAGC
rnacentral:rRNA from 1 species